rnacentral:rRNA from 1 species
CAGUAGCCGCGGUAAAACGUAGGUGGCAAGCGUUGUCCGGAAUUAUUGGGCGUAAAGGGCUCGCAGGCGGUUUCUUAAGUCUGAUGUGAAAGCCCCCGGCUCAACCGGGGAGGGUCAUUGGAAACUGGGAAACUUGAGUGCAGAAGAGGAGAGUGGAAUUCCACAUGUAGCGGUGAAAUGCGUAGAGAUGUGGAGGAACACCAGUGGCGAAGGCGACUCUCUGGUCUGUAACUGACGCUGAGGAGCGAAAGCGUGGGGAGCGAACAGGAUUAGAUACCCGCGUAGUCCCUGUCUCUUAUAA